GACGAACGCUGGCGGCGUGCUUAACACAUGCAAGUCGAACGGAAAGGCCCGGCUUUUGUGGGGUUCUCGAGUGGCGAACGGGUGAGUAACACGUGAGUAACCUGCCCUUGACUUUGGGAUAACUUCCGGAAACUGGGGCUAUUACCGGAUAGGAGCUCCUGCUGCAUGGUGGGGGUUGGAGAGUUUCGGCGGUUGGGGAUGGACUCGCGGCUUAUCAGCUUGGUGGUGGGGUAGUGGCUUACCAAGGCUUUGACGGGUAGCCUGCCUGAGAGGGUGACCGGCGACAAGGGGACUGAGAUACGGACCAGACGCGUACGGGAGGCAGCAGUGGGGAAUAUUGCACAGUGGGCGGACGCCUGAUGCAGCAACGCCGCGUGCGGGAUGACGGCUUUCGGGUUGUAAACCGCUUUGGCCUGUGACGAAGCGUGAGUGACGGUAAUGGGUAAAGAAGCACCGGCUAACUACGUG
rnacentral:rRNA from 1 species